CCUACGGGAGGCAGCAGUGGGGAAUUUUGGACAAUGGGCGCAAGCCUGAUCCAGCAAUGCCGCGUGAGUGAAGAAGGCCUUCGGGUUGUAAAGCUCUUUUGUCAGGGAAGAAACGGUCUACUCUAAUACAGUGGGCUAAUGACGGUACCUGAAGAAUAAGCACCGGCUAACUACGUGCCAGCAGCCGCGGUAAUACGUAGGGUGCAAGCGUUAAUCGGAAUUACUGGGCGUAAAGCGUGCGCAGGCGGUUAUAUAAGUCAGAUGUGAAAUCCCCGGGCUCAACCUGGGAACUGCAUUUGAGACUGUAUGGCUAGAGUGUGUCAGAGGGGGGUUAGAAUUCCACGUGUAGCAGUGAAAUGCGUAGAUAUGUGGAGGAAUACCGAUGGCGAAGGCAGCCCCCUGGGAUAACACUGACGCUCAUGCACGAAAGCGUGGGGAGCAAACGAGUAGUAGUACGUACCUACGUAGGUACCGUACCGACCCGUAACCGUAACGUACUACGUACUUACGUUAGGUUCGGUACGGUUAACUUUAGUUCGUUACGGUUACGGUACGUACGACGUACGUACGUACGUAGUAAGUACGGACCGGUCCGGUACGGGUACGGGUACGGUACGACGAAGUAAACGUUAACGUAACGUAACGUAAGUACGUACGUCGAGAGACGACGACGACGACGACGACGGAGGAGGAGG
rnacentral:rRNA from 1 species